GCCCGGGUGGUCUAGUGGUAUGAUUCUCGCUUAGGGAAAACCCAAGCACAUUUGCGAGAGGUCCCGCGUUCGAUCCGCGGCUCGGGCC
rnacentral:tRNA from 2 species